rnacentral:rRNA from 1 species
GCUGGCGGCGUGCCUAACACAUGCAAGUCGAACGAUUAAACCGGCCUUUGGCCGGACAUAGAGUGGCGAACGGGUGAGUAACACGUGACCAACCUGCCCCCCGCUCCGGGACAACCGCUGGAAACGGCGGCUAAUACCGGAUGCCCCGGGUCCCCCGCAUGGGGUUCCCGGGAAAGCCACGGCGGCGGGGGAUGGGGUCGCGGCCCAUUAGGUAGACGGCGGGGUGACGGCCCACCGUGCCCGCGAUGGGUAGCCGGGCUGAGAGGCCGAUCGGCCACAUUGGGACUGAGAUACGGCCCAGACUCCUACGGGAGGCAGCAGUGGGGAAUCUUGCGCAAUGGGGGCAACCCUGACGCAGCAACGCCGCGUGCGGGAUGACGGCCUUCGGGUUGUAAACCGCUUUCAGCGGGGACGAUUAUGACGGUACCCGCAGAAGAAGCUCCGGCUAACUACGUGCCAGCAGCCGCGGUAAUACGUAGGGAGCGAGCGUUAUCCGGAUUCAUUGGGCGUAAAGCGCGCGUAGGCGGAUGCCUAAGCGGGACCUCUAACCCGGGGGCUCAACCCCCGGCCGGGUCCCGAACUGGGCGUCUCGAGUGCGGUAGGGGCAGGUGGAAUUCCAUGUGUAGCGGUGGAAUGCGCAGAUAUAUGGAAGAACACCGACGGCGAAGGCAGCCUGCUGGGCCGACACUGACGCUGAGGUGCGAAAGCGCGGGGAGCGAACAGGAUUAGAUACCCUGGUAGUCCGCGCCGUAAACGAUGGACGCUAGGUGUGGGGGAGCGUUUCCCCCGUGCCGAAGCCAACGCAU